rnacentral:tRNA from 1 species
GCCAAGAUAGCUCAGUUGGUAGAGCACGUCCUUGGUAAGGACGAGGUCGCCGGUUCGAUCCCGGUUCUUGGCU